UACGUAGGGCGCAAGCGUUGUCCGGAAUUAUUGGGCGUAAAGAGCUCGUAGGCGGCUUGUCACGUCGAUUGUGAAAGCCCGAGGCUUAACCUCGGGUCUGCAGUCGAUACGGGCUAGCUAGAGUGUGGUAGGGGGAGAUCGGAAUUCCUGGUGUAGCGGUGAAAUGCGCAGAUAUCAGGAGGAACACCGGUGGCGAAGGCGGAUCUCUGGGCCAUUACUGACGCUGAGGAGCGAAAGCUAGGGGAGCAAACGGG
rnacentral:rRNA from 1 species